UACAGAGACUGCAAGCGUUGUUCGGAAUUACUGGGCGUAAAGCGCACGUAGGCGGCUUUGUAAGUUAGAGGUGAAAGCCCGGGGCUCAACUCCGGAAUUGCCCUUAAGACUGCAUCGCUAGAAUUGUGGAGAGGUAAGUGGAAUUCCGAGUGUAGAGGUGAAAUUCGUAGAUAUUCGGAAGAAACACCAGUGGCGAAGGCGACUUACUGGACACAUAUUGACGCUGAGGUGGCGAAAGCGUGGGAGCAAACAGG
rnacentral:rRNA from 1 species